rnacentral:rRNA from 1 species
UGAGCAAUCUGCCCUUCUCAUCGGAAUAAGCGUUGGAAACGACGUCUAAUGCCGAAUACGACCUCCUUUCGCAUGAUCGGAGGUGGAAAGCUCCGGCGGAGAGGGAUGAGCUCGCGGCCUAUCAGCUAGUUGGUGUGGGUAAUGGCCCACCAAGGCGACGACGGGUAGCCGGCCUGAGAGGGUGACCGGCCACACUGGGACUGAGACACGGCCCAGACUCCUACGGGAGCAG